rnacentral:rRNA from 1 species
AAGGUUGACCUCGGAUCAGGUAGGAAUACCCGCUGAACUUAAGCAUAUCAAUAAGCGGAGGAAAAGAAACAACAGGGAUUGCCCCAGUAACGGCGAGUGAAGCGGCAACAGCUCAAAUUUGAAAUCUGGCCCUCGGGUCCGAAUUGUAAUUUGCAGAGGAUGCUUUUGGCGCGGCGCCUUCCGAGUUUCCUGGAACGGAACGCCAUAGAGGGUGAGAGCCCCGUCCGGUUGGACGCCUAGCCUAUGUAAAGCUCCUUCGACGAGUCGAGUAGUUUGGGAAUGCUGCUCUAAAUGGGAGGUACAUGUCUUCUAAAGCUAAAUACCGGCCAGAGACCGAUAGCGCACAAGUAGAGUGAUCGAAAGAUGAAAAGCACUUUGAAAAGAGGGUUAAAUAGUACGUGAAAUUGUUGAAAGGGAAGCGUUUAUGACCAGACUUGGGCCCGGUUAAUCAUCCAGCGUUCUCGCUGGUGCACUUGGCCGGCCCAGGCCAGCAUCAGUUCGUCGCGGGGGAUAAAGGUUUCGGGAACGUGGCUCCCUCGGGAGUGUUAUAGCCCGUUGCGUAAUACCCUGCCUCGGACUGAGGUUCGCGCAUCUGCAAGGAUGCUGGCGUAAUGGUCAUCAACGACCCGUCUUGAAACACGGACCAAGGAGUCGUCUUCGUAUGCGAGUGUUCGGGUGUCAAACCCCUACGCGUAAUGAAAGUGAACGCAGGUGAGAGCUUCGGCGCAUCAUCGACCGAUCCUGAUGUUCUCGGAUGGAUUUGAGUAAGAGCAUACGGGGCCGGACCCGAAAGAAGGUGAACUAUGCCUGUAUAGGGUGAAGCCAGAGGAAACUCUGGUGGAGGCUCGCAGCGGUUCUGACGUGCAAAUCGAUCGUCAAAUAUGGGCAUGGGGGCGAAAGACUAAUCGAACCUU